rnacentral:rRNA from 1 species
UACAGAGGGUGCGAGCGUUGUCCGGAAUCACUGGGCGUAAAGGGCGCGUAGGUGGCGGGCCAAGUCAGUGGUGAAAGCUCGAUGCUCAACAUCGAGUCGGCCACUGAUACUGGUUUGCUUGAGCACUGUAGAGGCAGAUGGAAUUCCGGGUGUAGCGGUGGAAUGCGUAGAGAUCCGGAAGAACACCGGUGGCGAAGGCGGCCUGCUGGGCAGUAGCUGACACUGAGGCGCGACAGCGUGGGGAGCAACAGG